rnacentral:rRNA from 1 species
GAUGAACGCUGGCGGCGUGCCUAAUACAUGCAAGUCGAGCGAACAGACGAGGAGCUUGCUCCUCUGACGUUAGCGGCGGACGGGUGAGUAACACGUGGAUAACCUACCUAUAAGACUGGGAUAACUUCGGGAAACCGGAGCUAAUACCGGAUAAUAUAUUGAACCGCAUGGUUCAAUAGUGAAAGACGGUUUUGCUGUCACUUAUAGAUGGAUCCGCGCCGCAUUAGCUAGUUGGUAAGGUAACGGCUUACCAAGGCAACGAUGCGUAGCCGACCUGAGAGGGGGCUGGGCCACAGUGGAAGUGAACCGCGGACCAGCGCCCUGCGGGAGGCCCCAGAAGGGUAUCUUCGGCAGUGGGGGAGAAUCUGGCAGAGCAGCGCAGAGGGAGUGAUAAAGUUCUCGGGUUAGAAACACUUUGUUACUGGGAAAAAACAACUUUGAAAAUAAAAAUACACAUCUUGACGGUACCUACAAAAAAAGCCCCGGCUAACUACGUG